rnacentral:rRNA from 1 species
GACGAACGCUGGCGGCGUGCUUAACACAUGCAAGUCGAGCGAUGAAGUUCCUUCGGGAAUGGAUUAGCGGCGGACGGGUGAGUAACACGUGGGUAACCUGCCUCAUAGAGGGGAAUAGCCUUUCGAAAGGAAGAUUAAUACCGCAUAAGAUUGUAGUAUCGCAUGAUACAGCAAUUAAAGGAGUAAUCCGCUAUGAGAUGGACCCGCGUCACAUUGGCUAGUUGGUGAGGUAACGGCUCACCAAGGCGACGAUGCGUAGCCGACCUGAGAGGGUGAUCGGCCACAUUGGGACUGAGACACGGCCCAGACUCCUACGGGAGGCAGCAGUGGGGAAUAUUGCACAGUGGGGGAAACCCUGAUGCAGCAACGCCGCGUGAGUGAUGACGGUCUUCGGAUUGUAAAACUCUGUCUUCAGGGACGAUAAUGACGGUACCUGAGGAGGAAGCCACGGCUAACUACGUGCCAGCAGCCGCGGUAA